rnacentral:lncRNA from 1 species
GGGUGAGAGGGGGACAUCUUUGCUUUAUUUUUAUUUUUCAUCUUAUUGGGAAAACAUUAAGCUUCGCACCAUUAAUUCUGGUGGUAGUUGUGGGGUUUUUUUUUUAACAUAUUCUUUAUUAAAUUGAGUAAGUUUCUCGUUAUUCUCAGUUUAUUGAGUGUUUUUAGUAUGCCUGGGUGUUGGAUUUUGUCAAAUGUUUUAUGCACGUAUAUUGAUAUAAUUAUGUAACUUUUUUCUCUUUUAUGCUGUUGCUAUGAUGGGUUACACUGAUUGUUUAUCAAAUGUUAAACCAGUUUAUACCAUGGAUAAAUCCUACUCAAUCAAGAUGUAUAACCACUUUUAUACAUAGUUACAUUCAAUUUGCUAGUAUUGAGAAAUUUUGCAUCUAUAUUUAUAAAAGGUAUUAGUCUGUAGAUUUAUUUUAAUGUCUUUGUCUGGCUUGGGGAUUAGUGUGAUGCUGGGUUUAAAGAGCACCCUUUGUGUAUUUUUAUUUAGAGCAUAUCUAAAUAGAGACAUGAGUUACAAAGUUUAAGAAUAUAAAGAAUGAGUUACAAAGUUUUUUCUCCCUUUUAUUCUUGGUUAGCCUGGCUAAAGUUUUGUUGAUUUUAUUAAUCUUUUCAAAUAGCCAGGUUUUCUUGUCAUUGUCUUUUUUCUAUUGAUUCCCUGUUUUCAAUUUUAUUAAUUUCUAGUCUAAUUACUAUUAUUCAUUUUCUGCAUCUUACUUGUGAUACAAUUUUUUCUAGUUUCCUAAGGUGGAAAUUUAUAUUAAUAAUUUAGAUCUUGUGAUGGUUAAUUAUGAUUGAAGAAUACAAAGUAUUUUUUCUGCUUGUGUCUGUGAGGGUGUUGCCAAAAGAGAUUAACAUUUGAGUCAGUGGACUGGGAGAGGCAAAUCCACCCUCAGUCUGAGUGGGCACCAUCUAGCUGAAUAUUAUAGCUGCAUUUGGUGCACUUGGUGCAGCUAGAAUAAAGCAGGCUGAAGAAAGUGGAAGGACUUGACUUCCCAAGCCUUCUGGCCUUCAUCUUUCUCCCAUGCUGGAUACUUCCUGCCCUUGAGCAUCAGACUCCAAGUUCAUCAGCUUUUGGACUCUUGAAAUUACACCAGGGGUUUGCCAGGGGCUCUUGGGCCUUAGCCACCAACUGAAGACUGCACUGUCAGCUUCCUUAUUAUUGAGGUUUGGGGACUCUUGCUGGCUUUCUUGCCCCUCAGCAUGCAGACGGCCCAUUGUGAGACUUCACCUUGUGGUCCUAGACAGGAUCUUGCUUCUAUUACCCUGAAUGGAGUGGAGUGGCAUGGUCAUAGCUCACUGCUGACUAGGACUUCUGGGCUCAAAUUAUUCUACCACCUCAGCCUCCCCAGCAGAGAGAAGACCAAGAAAUGACUGAUAGGCAACCAACAAGAAUACCUGUGAAAUGGAGACAAGAAUGUUUGAGAACUGACUGACCAUCCAGUGGCACCUGAGAAAAGGAUAUGUCAAUGUUAUCUAAUCCUGGAUCAUGUUAUGCAAAAUUCUAAGAUGAAUCUGAAGACACCUGCUUUAUGGUUUGCAAACAUUGUACAAAUUCCUCCUCUUGUAUGUGUUGUGGUCUGUGCAUAAGAUGGAUUUUAUAACUAUAAUUAGGCUGCAUUAUAUGACAAAGGUAAAAUGAUCUUGCAGAUGCAAUUGAGGUUCCAAAUCAUUUGGUUUUCAGUUAAUAAAAAAAGGAAUUAUUUCAGUGGGCUUGAAUUAGUCAUGUGUAGACUCUAAAAAGAAAGAGACAUGGAAUGUGAGAAAAAUUCAAUUCCGUUGCUGGUUAAGACAGCAGGUGGCCUCUAGGAUUGAAGAGUGGACCCUGGCCAAUAGCUGGAAACAAAACAGGGGCCUGACUUGUAAAAACAGAGGAUUGAAUUCUGUCAAAAACCACAUAAGCCUUAAAACACUAUCCCAAGCUCCACAAAGGAAGGCAGCACAACCAACAAUUUUUUGAGGCCGAAUCUCUCUACCUUGCCCAGAUUGGUCUUGAACCCCUGGGUGCAAGUGAUCUUCUAAGCACAAGUGAUUUCCUCUUCCCCCACUUCAGCCUCCUGAGUAGCUGUAAUUACAGACACAUCACCAAACCUAGCUAAAGCCAUCAUCUUGAUUUCAGCUUUGAUGUGCUCUUGAGCACAGGGUCAAGCUAAUCUAUGCUCAGACACUUGACUAGUGGAAAUUAUUAGAUAGAAAAUGGGUGUUAUGCCAAUUAGUUUGCGACAAUUUAUUACACAGCAAAAGAAAACUAAUACAAUGUCAAAAGUUAUUUCUAUCUGAAUUCCAAAUGUUAGAACUAGACUAGAAACCAAAAUCAUUUAAAAUCCAAAUUUGUCACAUGUGAUUAAUAGUCCCAUUUUACUGUCUGAUAUAAAUGAUGAUGUAUUUGUUUGUUAAAUAAAAGAUAUGGACAUCAGAAAGAAUAAUAUUAACAAAGUUUGGGGGGCAAUGAAUUCAAUUUUAUAUCAAGCAAGUUGAAGUAAAUCUACUGUUGGGACCUAGAUCUUGUGCACUCCUACUCAUGCUGGUGACUGCAACAUUCUACGACUUCACAACCUCUAGAGUUACUUCAUUUUUUUUUUCUUUUAAGAAGCAACCAUAUUAAGUGACAGGAUUACUUCUUAAAAUACUUUAUACUUCUAGACUUAUAUAAUUUUAGAUGGUGCACUGGCUGUUCAUGUAAGUAAAAAUAAUUAACAAAUUUUGCAAACUUCUAAUUUUCUCAAAUACAAUUAAUCCCUUUAGAAAAACUAUUGCUUUGUUUUAUCAAGAAAGCAUGAGAGUACUAACAAAACAUUUAUAAUAAUGCUGAGUCUAAUUCUUAUAAUCAUGAUUAUGAUCAUUUAUUGGACUGUUAUCACUAGCCAGAUACUACGUAGAGUGUUAUAUGCAUAUUACUUUCUAAAAUUUUCCCCAUACAACAAAUAAUUGAGAUUGCAUCUAUUCAUACUCAUUCCAUUUUAUAUGGAAGGAACUGAGACCAGAAGCAGGGGAGAUUGAGAGUUAUUGUUCACUGGGUAUAGAGAUUUGGUUAUGCAAGACAAAAAUAACAACAUAACCAGUAAGCAAUAAAUUGAAGAAAUAAAAUUAACCUUUAUCCAUAGAGCUAAAACUUUUAACUACUGCACUAUUUCAAUUUAUUAGUACAGAAUCAUAGUGCUUACUUUUCAACCUACUCCAAACCCAAAACUCCUUCAUAUAGUCAAUAUUGUAAUUGAGUGGAACUGCAUUUAAUGAUGAAAUGUAAGUUUCUAUUUGUUAAAACACAUGCUUUUUCUGAUGUAAUAUAUUGUGAACAUUUUCUCACUAGUCACAUUAUAUUUCUCCACAAUACUAAAGAUGGUAAAGUGUCUUUUCUGGUUUGAGUGCUUUUUUACUUUAAUUUUUUUUUUGUCUAAUUGCUCUAGGUAGGAUUUCCAGUACUUUAUUGAACAUGUGAGUGAGCAUCUUUACCAUGUUUCUGAUCUUAGAGAAAAAACUUUCACGUUUUCAUUGUUGAGUAUAAUGUUAACUGUGGCUUUUUGUAUAUGGCCUUUAUUAUAUUGAGAUAAUUUAUUUCUAUUCCUUGUGUUUUAGUAUUUUUAAUUCAUGAAAAGAUGUUGAAUUUUGUCAGAUGCUUUUUCUGCAUCUAUUGAGUUAAUCCUGUGUUUUAAAAGCUUCCAUUCUGUUAAUAUAAUAUAGUGUAUCCUAUUGAUUCAUUUGUUUAUGUUGGAUCAUCCUUGUCUCACAAAAAUAAAUGCCACUUGGUCAUGCCAUGAGGUAUUUUUACUGUGGUAUUGAAUUUGGUUUGUUAGUAUUUUGUUGAGGAUACAAGAUUUUAUAUUUAUAUCUUGUAAUUAUAUCUUUGUCUGGCUUUGGUGUUGGUAAUUCUGACCUCAUAAAAUGAGUUUGGAAUUGUUUCUUCCCUUUACAUUGUUUAUAAUAGUUUGAGAAGGAAUAGUGUUAAUUCUUAUUUAAAUAUUUGAUGGCAUUCUUCAGGGAGGCUAUCUAGACCAUGACUUUUCUUCACUGGGAAGUUUUGGUGACGAAUUCAAUCUCCUAGCUAGCUAUAGGUCUACUCUAAUUUUCUCUUUUUUCAUCAUUAAUUUUUGAUAGGUUGUAUGUUUUAAAAAAUUUGUUCAUUUUUUUCUGGGUUAUGCAGUGUAUUGGCAUAUAAUUAUUUAUAAUAAUUCUCAUUUUUAUUCCUGUGGCAUCAGUGUUAAUGUCUCCUCUUUUAUUACUGAUUUUAUUUGCAUAUUCAAUUUGAAAAGAAUGUACAUUCCGUAGUUGUUGGGUAGAAUGUUCUGUAAAGCUCAUCACUUAGGCACAUAUUCAUCAAGUUAUCUCAAGUCAAGACAAAGAAAAGAAUCUUAAGAGCUGUGAGGCAAAAGCAUCAGGUAGCCUAUAAAGGAAAACCUAUCAGAUUAACAGCAGAUUUCUCAGCAGAAACCCUACAAGCUCGAAGGGUUUGGGGUUCUAUCUUUAGCCCCAUUAAACAAAACAAUUAUCAGCCAAGAAUUUUGUAUCCAGCAAAACUAAGCUUCAUAAAUGAAGGAAAAAAUAACAGCCUUUUAUAGACAAACAAAUGCUGAGAGUUCAUCACUACCAAGCCAGCACUACAAGAACUGCUAAAAGAACCUCUAAAAUCUUGAAACAUAUCAUCAAAGUACACCAAAAUAGAAUCUCCUUAAAGCAUAAAUCUCAUAGGACCCAUAAAACAACAAUACAAUGAAACAAACAAACAAACAACAACAAGGUAUUUAGGCAACAAAUAGCAUGAUGAAUAGAAUAGCACCUCAAGUCUCAAUACUGAUAUUGAAUGUAAAUGGCCUAAAUGUUCCACUUAACAGAUACAGAAUGGCACAAUGGAUAAGAAUUCACCAAUCAAAAAAUCUGCUGUCUUCAAGAGGCUCAUCUGGCAUAUAAGGACUCACAUAAACUUAAGGUAAAGAAGUGGAAAAAGACAUUGCAUGCAAAUGGAUCCAAAAGCAAGCAGGAGUAGCUAUUCUUAUAUCAGACCAAACAAACUUUAAAACAACAGUGGUUAGAAAAGACAAAGAGGGAUAUUAUAUAAUGAUAAAAGGACUAGUCCAACAGGAAAAUAUCAUAACCCUAAAUAUAUAUGCACCUAACACCAGAGCUCUCAAAUUUAUAAAAUGAUUACUACUAGACCUAAAAAAUGAGAUAGACAGCAACACAAUAAUAGUGGGGGACUUCAAUACUCCACUGACAGCACUGGAGAGGUCAUAAAGAAAGAAAGACUACAAAGAAACAAUGGACUUAAGCUAUACCCUAGAACAAAUGAACUUAAAAGAUAUUUACAUUUGUUUCUUUUUUAAAUAAAGGUACUUACUGGUAUAAACUUUCAUCUUAGUAGUGUUUUUGCUGCCUCCAUAAUUUUUGGUAUAUUGUAGUCUGUUUGAUUAUUUGUUUGUCACAAGACACUUUUGGUUUUCUUUUUGUUUUUGAACCUCUAUGACAAAAUUAAAAGCGAUUUUUAUAAUGCUGAUAGAGUAUUACAGUAUUCUAGACCUGUUGAUAUAUUUACCUUUACCAGUAAGCUCUAUUUUUCUUUUGCUUUCAUGUUGCUGUCUACAUUCCUUUUGUUUUAAACUGAAGUAUUUCAUUUAGAAUUUUUUCUAAGGUAGAUCUAGUGAUGAUAAAAAUACUUCUGCUGUUUGGAAAAGUCUUUAAUUCUUUCAUUUUUGAAGGAUACUUUUGCUGGAUAAAGUAUUCUUGACUGGCAGUGUUUUUUUUUUUUUUCAUUUGUUUGUUUUCAUCACUUUGAAUAUGUCAUUGUUCUGUUUUCUGGCCUGCAGAGUUUUCGCUGAGAAAACUGCUGAUGGUAUUAUGGGGUAUUUUUGUACAUGAUGAUGUACAUUUUCCUUGUUGCUUUCAACAUUUUCAUUUUCUUUGACUUUUGGCA